rnacentral:rRNA from 1 species
AUGGGUGGCUCGGACCAGAAGGCGGCCGGCGGGGCCGUGGGCGGCAAGGCGGCGCGCGCGUGCGACGGGUGCAUGCGGCGGUGGGCCCGGUGGUACUGCGCGGCUGACGACGCUUUCUUGUGCCAGGCCUGCGACACGUCGGUGCACUCGGCGAACCCGCUCGCCAGGCGGCACGAGCGCCUCCGCCUGCGCGCGACGUCCCCGCUGCCGGCCGAGGGCGUGGCCGCGGUGAAGGGGUCGCCGGCGACGACGUCCAAGUGCCUUGACGUCGCGCCGGCGUGGCCGAAGCGGAAGGCGCGCACUCGGCGGCCGCCGGUCAAGAGCGUCGGGCAGCUGCUGUCGAGGCGCCUCGUGGUGCCCGAGGUGGGAGCCGGGGAGUCCUCCACAUCGGACGAGCGGAGGGCGCCCGAGGAGGAGCAGCUGCUCUACCGCGUGCCGGUCUUUGACCCCGCCCUCGCCGAGUUCUGCUCGCCGCCGCCGAUCGAUGACUCACGCCACGGUGAGGACGUCGAAGGCGCCGUGGAGGACACGAAGGAGCACAUGGCCACACCGUCCCCCGUGCAGGAGCUCCCCGAUUGUUUUGCCAGUUUCGGCCCGACGGACGCCGAUCUCAGGGAGUUCGCGGCCGACAUGGAAGCGCUCCUCGGCCAAGGCCUGGACGACGGCAACGAGCUGGAGGACUCGUUCUACAUGGAGGCCCUAGGGCUCAUAUCGCCGCCGGGGGAACACGGCGGGCGGGUAAAGGUGGAGGCCGACGGCAGCCUUGUCUCCCGAAGCAACGGCGUUCUGGCGUCUGGCCAUGACCUGAAGCGGGAGUUCAACGGCAGCCCGCCGACACUGGUGGAUGACGACGACAGUUUCGAGCACAAGACGUCGACGGCGAGCAACGGAGACGCCGUUGACGAUGCGCAGUUCUUGAAGAGGAGCCUGGAUCUUAGGCUGAACUACGAGGCGGUCAUGGAGAGCUGGGGCAGCUCGCCGUGGACCGACGGCCGGCGGCCGUCCGGCCAGCUCGACGACUUGUUGCUCCACGACCACGCGGGCAUGUGGACGGCCGGAGGAGGAGGACGGCAUGGCGAUGCGGCGUGGCCGCCGAGGCCAAGGACGGACGAGUGGCGGGAGGCGCGGGUGUCGCGGUACCGGGAGAAGCGGCGGACACGGCUGUUCGCCAAGAAAAUACGCUACGAGGUGCGGAAGCUGAACGCGGAGAAGCGGCCCCGGAUGAAGGGCCGCUUCGUCAAGCGCACCGGCGGCGCGGCCGCCGCCGCCCCGUGCGCCGUCACCUGA